CGGAGAGGGAGAUGAGGAGGCACUGCCUUCGGCCCAGGCGGUCGGCCAGCCCGCCCCACAGGAACGCGCCCACCAUCAUGCCCAGGAACAGCGUUAAAAUAGAAGUCCCUGCACACACGCACGCAUCACAUCAGCUUAACCAGAGAGGCAGGCUGAGGUGGCUGUGAAAUUAAACCCGAGGCUGAGCUGCAAAUGGCACCGAAUGGGAGGAUGCGACGUCCUGCGUCCAAAGCAGAGCAGCACCCCCUCUCCAGGCAGCGAUGCGGCUGUGAGGCUCACAGCACCGGGACACGAGCUGGCAAGGUGACCCAGC
rnacentral:lncRNA from 1 species